GCCUCAUUAUAUGAUUUGAGGUAUUGCCUGCUCAGUGCGAAAGUAAAUAGCCGCAGUAUCUUGACUGUGCGAAGGUAGCAUAAUAAAUUGGCUCAUAAUUGGAGUCUGGGAUGAAUGGCUUGACAAGGGUUUGACUGUCUUGAAUUGAAAAUUUUUGAAAUUAAAUUUUCUGUAAAAAUGCGGAAAUAAUCGAGAGGGACGAGAAGACCCUAUAGAUCUUUGAAUAGAUUAUUAAUUAAUAAUGUGUGAUUAAUGAAUUUAUUUUAUUUGGGGAAAAUCUUGAAAUGUUAAAACUUUGGUUAAGUGAAAAAUGGAAAUGAUUGAUUUUCGAUCCACUGGAAAGUGAAAGGAUGAAAAAGUUACCUUAGGGAUAACAGGACGAUGUUUUCUUUGAGAUCUUAUCUAAGAGAACGUUUGUUACCUCGAUGUUGAAUUAAGUUGUCUUAUUAAAGGAGAGAUUCUUACUAGUUGGUCUGUUCGACCAUUAAAAAC
rnacentral:rRNA from 1 species